rnacentral:rRNA from 1 species
UGAUCCCUACGGGGGGCAGCAGUGGGGAAUAUUGCACAAUGGGGGAAACCCUGAUGCAGCGACGCCGCGUGAGCGAUGAAGUAUUUCGGUAUGUAAAGCUCUAUCAGCAGGGAAGAAGAUGACGGUACCUGACUAAGAAGCCCCGGCUAACUACGUGCCAGCAGCCGCGGUAAUACGUAGGGGGCAAGCGUUAUCCGGAAUUACUGGGUGUAAAGGGAGCGUAGACGGCUGUGCAAGUCUGGAGUGAAAGGCGGGGGCCCAACCCCCGGACUGCUCUGGAAACUGUAUGGCUGGAGUGCAGGAGG